GACGAACGCUGGCGGCGUGCUUAACACAUGCAAGUCGAACGGUGACCUCGAGAGCUUGCUCCCGAGUGAUCAGUGGCGAACGGGUGAGUAACACGUGAGUAACAUGCCCCAGACUCUGGAAUAACCCCGGGAAACCGGAGCUAAUACCGGAUACGAGACGGAGUCGCAUGGCUACCGUCUGGAAAGUUUUUCGGUCUGGGAUGGACUCGCGGCCUAUCAGCUUGUUGGUGAGGUAACGGCUCACCAAGGCGACGAUGGGUAGCCGGCCUGAGAGGGCGACCGGCCACACUGGGACUGAGACACGGCCCAGACUCCUACGGGAGGCAGCAGUGGGGAAUAUUGCACAAUGGGCGAAAGCCUGAUGCAGCGACGCCGCGUGAGGGAUGACGGCCUUCGGGUUGUAAACCUCUUUCAGCAGGGAAGAAGCGAAAGUGACGGUACCUGCAGAAGAAGCACCGGCUAACUACGUGCCAGCCGCCGCAGUAACAC
rnacentral:rRNA from 1 species